CCUACGGGUGGCAGCAGUGAGGAAUAUUGGUCAAUGGACGCAAGUCUGAACCAGCCAUGCCGCGUGCAGGAAGACGGCUCUAUGAGUUGUAAACUGCUUUUGUACGAGGGUAAACGCAGAUACGCGUAUCUGUCUGUAAGUACCAUACGAAUAAGGAUCGGCUAACUCAGUGCCAGCAGCCGCGGUAAUACGGAGGAUUCAAGCGUUAUCCGGAUUUAUUGGGUUUAAAGGGUGCGUAGGCGGUUGGAUAAGUUAGAGGUGAAAUCCCGCGGCUCAACUUCGGAAUUGCAUCUGAUACUGUUCGGCUAGAGAGUAGUAGAGGUAGGCGGAAUGCAUGGUGUAGCGGUGAAAUGCUUAGAGAUCACACAGAACACCGAUUGCGAAGGCAGCUUACCAAGCUACUACUGACGUUGAGGCACGAAAGCGUGGGUAGCAAACAGGAUUAGAUACCCCGGUAGUC
rnacentral:rRNA from 1 species